ensembl:lncRNA
CGCGAACCUACUUCCGUUUCUCUUCCUGAUUCACUCGACAAGGAAAGACCCUGCCGUACUAUCACUCUCGCAAACUAUCAAAUACGUUUGAACUAUAGAAAUGAUUUGUCUUUCUACAAAAACAAAGUUAUGAAGAAACUAACAUCCGAUAAAGAAACAAGACAAGCAAGCCUUGUGUACCGGAUUCCACUUCUUUGUAAAUACUGUUAACUAGCUGUCUAGUUUUAACUGGAACACAUUACGAGGGCAGCAUAGUAAAAAGACAACAACUCAACGAGUUCAAGCUAAGAAGAUGUCGACAUCCCAGGAGAAUGUCGUUACACAGGGAUAAACCAAAGGUGGAUCCCGUUGAACAACCACAGGCCGCAGCAGCUCUAGAGCCACUGGAAGACGGCCACGAGGCAAACGUGAGGGAAGACUCUCUCAGUACACCUGACUCCCGGUCACAGUUAUCCAAACGGUCCAACGGAUCAGCAAUAUCGUCAGCGGCUGCUAGAGCACGUGCCAAGUCAAAAGCAGCACAAGCCCAGGUGACUUUCGCCGAAAGAGAAGCAAGUGUGAUGAGACAAAAAGCUGAACUCGAAGCCAGUCUUCACGUUCUCAGGAGCCAGAAGAUGGCUGCUGCAGCAGCUGCAGCAUACGAGGAGGAGGAGAUUGAAAGCGGGGAGAAGCGCUAUGAGCCAUACGUCCUGGGUAAGCCUUCCACUGCCUAUGAACGUGCAGGCGACUACGUCCAACAGCACUCAGCAAUGUUCGGUGGAGAACAAUCACCACCAUUGCAUGCGCAGCUGGACGCCUACAGACCACCGCCAUCAACACCUGCGCCGCUGGACUUCCACAGACUACCCCAACGAUACGCUGAGGCAGUUGUUCACACAAAACCAAAGCCAAGAGUCAGCAACAUAAAGAAAGAACAGCCACCUCCACCACUUUCCAGUCCGAACCUAGGACCCUCCCCCGAGCCGCAGCCAGCACAAGACCUUGCCAGGUACCUCAUGCGCCGAGAACUGGUGAGCUCCGGCCUCCUACAGUUUGAUGACCGUCCUGAACAUUACUGGUCAUGGAAAGCAUCAUUCCUGAGCGUCACACAGGACUUAAAUCUGACAUCCAGGGAAGAACAAGCACGGCGACUCCGUUCAGUACACGUUUUAAAUCCUGCUGCAGGGCUCCGCAUGGUGUGGCAGCGUGUGGAGGAAUGCUAUGGAACAUCAGAAGCCGUAGAACAUGCACUACUGGAAAAGAUUGAAGUGUUCCCCAAGCUAACCAAUAAAGACAAUGCUAAACUCAGAGAACUCGGUGAACAUCUUGCUAGAAUUGGAGUGCGCCAAAGAAGAAGGAUACCUACAGGGCCUCGCCUUUUUGGAUACAGCUCGUGGAGUGAACCCGAUCGUAGAAAAGUUACCCCUACAGCCUACAAGAGAGGUGGAUAACCAUGGGAUCCAAGUUCAAAGAAGAUCACGGAGUAGCCUUCCCUCCAUUCAGCCUCUUCUCUCAAUUCGUCCGACGACAGGCCAAGGUGAGGAACGACCCAAGCUUUGCCUUCAACACCUCCAACAACAAUGUGCCACCGAAAGCAGCCAUGAAACCCGGCUACAAAGCCCAAGUAAGUGUACAUAAGACAGGAGUCACACCCAAAUUUAACGACAGCGACACCAGCUCUGUGGAGAAGAGAACAGAUGAACCAGACCGUGAGUGUCCAAUACACAGAAAGCCUCACCCACUCAGAAAGUGUAAGGUCUUUAGAUACAAGCCUAUAGAAGAACGUAAAGCUUACCUGAAAGAUAACCGCAUCUGCUUUAAGUGCUGUGGGUC